CGCUCUUUGAAUUUUAUAUAUAAAGAGUCGAGCCUGCCCAGUGAUGAAAAUUUAACGGCCGCGGUACUCUGACCGUGCAAAGGUAGCAUAAUCAUUUGCCCUAUAAUUGAGGGCUUGUAUGAAUGGUUUGACAAGAGCAAAACUGUCUCUUUAAAAUUUUAUAGAAUUUGGUUUUUGGGUGAAGAAACCCAGAUAUAAUUGAAAGACAAGAAGACCCUAUCGAGCUUUAAAUAAGUUUAUUAAAAAAUAUAUUUAAAAAAAUUAAUUUUAAUAAAAAAUUUUAGUUGGGGCGACUAAGGAACAAAAAAAGCUUCUUUUAUUAAACUAAACUUAUAGGUUUUGAUCCAAAAUAUUUGAUUAAAAGAAUUAGUUACCGUAGGGAUAACAGCAUAAUCUUUUUUGAGAGUUCUUAUCGAAAAAAAGGUUUGUGACCUCGAUGUUGGACUAGGAUAUCCCGAUAGAUGCAGAAG
rnacentral:rRNA from 1 species